GCAAGUCGAACGAGAAAUCUCCGCUUCGGUGGGGAGAGUAAAGUGGCGCACGGGUGCGUAACGCGUGGAUAAUCUACCUUCGAAUCCGGGAUAACAUUGCGAAAGCGAUGCUAAUACCGGAUGAUAUUCAUUUUACUUCGGUGAAUUGAAUCAAAGACGGCCUCUUCUUGAAAGCCGUUGUUUGGAGAUGAGUCCGCGUACCAUUAGCUAGUUGGUGGGGUAACGGCCCACCAAGGCUACGAUGGUUAGCUGGUCUGAGAGGAUGAUC
rnacentral:rRNA from 1 species